UUGCUUGUUUGGGGGAAGGACUCUGAAUCUUGGUGCAUUGAGCAUUUUUUAAGUGGGGAAGCAGAUGCCAAGCAACAUAUUGCAGACCAAUAUGAUAUGUUUGACAGGGCCUAAUAAAAAACCCAGAGCGGAUCUCCUUUCUAUCCUUCAUAUGAUAUCCUAAACAUGAUUGUAACUGGUUCUAGGCAGAUGGGAUACUGGUCUAAUUAUUGUGGACUAUCUGUUGAAACCCCGGAGACGCUUUAUAAAAAAUAACCAAACCGUUCUAGUUCAAGUCAGCAUUUGUACAGUAUGGUAUGGCCUGGAGGAACUACAGAUAAGCCUCGUGGAUGGGGUUUUUCCAAACAGUGGAAAGCAAUUAAGAAUCGCAGUUCCAAACUUAGUUACCAGGACUUUGUCUCACGUUCAUGACUAAAUGGCGCUGAUAUUCCAAGUAUAUUGCAUAUAUGUGUUCCUUGUUGCCGCAAAGUUGCUUACUUAUGCAGUUAUAGGUUCACUCUCUUUGGAGAUGGUCAUAAGAAUUCAAGCUUCUCUGAGCUUAUAAAUAAGAUCACAACAAAUGUUUUUGAUACUGCUGUAGGUGACAUUGUAUUUGUCACUGUUGUGUGAAUUCUUGAACAUAGAAUAAAUGGUGAGUUCUGAGGGCCUCCUAGACUCCUAGUAAACUCGCAAUACUAUGGUGAGUACUUGUCAGUUGGUACAUCAUACAUAUUAGAUAAAUUUUUGUAUACAUUUAUAUCAACAUUGCUUUCUAACUUCUGUUGACUGAAAAAAAAAGAAAAGAACAAAACUUGUAUACCUUAGAUGAGUGAACAAUAAAAGGAUCUGUACCAGCAGAUCUUAGAUGGAAUGGAAGAUAGGAAAAUUAUCUCAGCAA